rnacentral:rRNA from 1 species
ACUCCUACGGGAGGCAGCAGUGGGGAAUAUUGCACAAUGGGCGCAAGCCUGAUGCAGCGACGCCGCGUGAGGGAUGACGGCCUUCGGGUUGUAAACCUCUUUCAGUAGGGAAGAAGCGAAAGUGACGGUACCUGCAGAAGAAGCACCGGCUAACUACGUGCCAGCAGCCGCGGUAAUACGUAGGGUGCGAGCGUUAGUCCGGAAUUAUUGGGCGUAAAGAGGCUUCGGUAGGCAGGUUUGUCGCGGUUCUGUCGUGAAAGUCCGGGGCUUAACCCCGG